rnacentral:lncRNA from 1 species
AAAAUGUUGGGGCAACUACAUUUUUUAAUAGUUUUCCAAAAAAAAAAAAAGAAAAAAAGCUCAAAAGAAUCUUUGUCUUUCGCUUUCUGAUGUCGUGGGGAUUGAAGAAAAAGAGUAAAGAAACAAAAUCGUGGAAGUUGGCCCUCGUCUCUAAUAAAAGUUUAACACGGCUACAAGUUUGAAUUUUGACUCGUCUCUACUUAACCUAUCGUCUUGUAUAUAAAUACAAAGCAGCUUAACACACUAACAACAAAUAAAGCUCAAAGAGUGAUUACAUCUUCUUCAUUACAAAUCAUUCAGCUCUUUCUCUCUCAUCUCGACUCUCUGUGUAACGACCCAACUUUUCUAAGUAAGUCGAGAUCGUUAAUUUUUAACAAAAUAAAAGACUUUGAUUAAUGUAAAACAAAACAUAAGCAAUUUUAAAAAAAAACAUCUUCAAGUCAGGCCUGAUUUUUAAACAUUCAAGAAAACAUAAAAUAAUACUGUUUGCAACAAACGUUUGUAAACUAAAUUUCAAAUCAAUCUUAAUUAAGCGGAAGCAAUUACACGUUUCCUAUGGCAUCACGCUUCCUUCCUACCCCUCGCCGGUUUGCUGCCUUUAUCACCUUUGCCUGAAAAUUAAACAUAAGAAGGGUGAGUAUUUUAAAUACUCAGUAAGAGACCCUCUACUGGUCUCGUCAGGGGAAAAUAAAUUGUUAAAGUUCUAUUGGGACACCCUGUACAGUCGCAGUCUUGUGAUCCCGUAGGAUACACAUUUCAGUCUAACGCCCCGAAGUACGUACAUAUCAGUCUGACGCCCCGAGGGACGUACAUAUCAGUCUAACGCCCCGAGGGACGUACAUAUCAGUCUAACGCCCGAGGGACGUUCAUAUCAGUCUAGUGUUCUGCAGAAACACAUAUCAGUCAAAUGCUCCCGAAGGUGCAAAAUAAAUUGGUGAUCCCGUGGGACACCUACAAGGUAAACAUCCCAAUACAACCUAACAAUUUAUCCCCUCAUUCCAUUCAACCAUCUUUCAGUUACUUCAAAUCACAAAGUCCUUUCUUUCAACAUCCUAACAGUCAACUUAUUUUACUACAAUCAUCUGUCUGUCAAUAAUAUGCUAAUACAUCAGUCAAUCCACUAUACAGUCAAGUCAAUACACCCCUCAGUUCACCAGCACAAACCACAGUUCAGUAUAAUCCACAUCCAACCGAAACAAAUUCACUAGUUCACAUCCAAUCUUUAUACAGCACAAUCUAUUAAUAUCAUCAUGUACACAUAAGCAUAAUUUCAGUCAUUCACAUGUAUACUUUCGGCAAUCCACAUCAAUUCACACAUCAAUGUAUAUAUAUAUGUUUCCAGUCAAAUACAACAUACACUAAACAUUUAGUCUGCAAUCAAACAUAUACAUCUUAAUCAUCAUCCAUACAGUCCAACACAACUCAAAAACUUUAGGUGAGUCCAGUAGAAAACCCCUUACCUUCAAAUUUGUUAAGCUCCUUAACCACGUUGAAGUCUAUGAAGAACGAACCUAAACAUUAAGACAAUUUCUCAAUAAUUCCCUUCAACGCAUCAGUCAUUUAAAUUCAACCCAAUGUGAAUCUUUUUGCAACUUACCCAAAUCUUCGCGAAAGAAAUCGAGCAGUGGCUUUGCGAAGAGAUGACGUGCGACGGAGAGACCGUAUACAGAUGGUCGGAGAGUCGCGCGGCAGUGCAGACAACGGAGGAGAAUGAAUCGACGGCGGCUGGGCUGAAAACAGAGGAGA